AACAAGAGGGCAGGAAGGAGAAAUCCUAGCCCUUCAACUCUUCACAAGAAAUUCAGAAAUUUAUGAUGAAAUCAGACACGAAAUCGAAUGCAUGAGCCUAGUUGGUCUCUAACUUAAGUGAUUUGAGCAUAAGGAUCAUGUUUAGAUGGGAAAGCAUGGAAGGCAAACGGAAAGGAUAUGAGGAAGCAUGUACGAAACGGGCACUCGAGGUAAUAAGUCAUGAGAAUCAACGGGGUGGCUUGAAUCGGAAUCAUGAAAUAAGAAAAAAGCUCACAAGUCGUUCACAAUAACCC